UACGUAGGUCCCGAGCGUUGUCCGGAUUUAUUGGGCGUAAAGAGCUCGUAGGCGGUUUGUCGCGUCUGCCGUGAAAGUCCGGGGCUCAACUCCGGAUCUGCGGUGGGUACGGGCAGACUAGAGUGAUGUAGGGGAGACUGGAAUUCCUGGUGUAGCGGUGAAAUGCGCAGAUAUCAGGAGGAACACCGAUGGCGAAGGCAGGUCUCUGGGCAUUAACUGACGCUGAGGAGCGAAAGCAUGGGGAGCAAACAGG
rnacentral:rRNA from 1 species